GGCUCUUGUGGCAGAGAGGUAGCUGGUGGCAGUGUGCUGAGUGUCUUAUCAUCUUGGCAUGGCUGCAGCUGUUUUCUGGGUUUGGCAGUGAGCAUCAUUGAUACAGUAACUGGGAAAAGCUUAAUAUCAUAGGUCAGACUUAUUCCACAAAAGGAGAAAAAGGAAUAGGAUGGUCAUUAUACAGGUUCUCUUUAAAAGCUGAAAGGCCAGGGGCCAACAGAAGGGACUGAAGCAACUGAAUGCCUUGAAGAGACUGAAGCAAUACAAAGCUCCCUUCUCUCCUGCUCUCACCAACUCUUCCUUGCCCCUCUCAGGUGGCAAUUCCAGGAUCACAAUAUCAAAAAAUGAAAAUAUAGUCUCAGAUAAAUCAAGAAAGCAGGUGUCCAAAGAGGCUUGGCCUCAAAUGAGGAAAUUUGAUUGCAUCUAUGCAGUGAUAGAGCCACUAUCCUUUGGCAUCUUUUUCUAUACAACUCAGACUCUUCUCAAUUCACUUCAACAAAUAAGAAUUUCUAAAGCAUUCAUUACACACUCAUACUGCACUCAUGCAUCCACAGCUGCACGCGCAAGAACACAAUUCUUUUAGAUCAUAACCCAUUGAACACCACUGUUUUUUUUUUUCCUCAACAACUGUUUACUGAGUAUGGGAAAGAAUAUGCAAAAAAGCCAUAACAGUACACUGUUAUUAUCCAGCUACAUCUACCAGACCAUUCCAGAAGUCCCAAAAUAUCUAAACUCCUCUCAUUAUACCAAAAAGAAAUGGCGAGCAUUCUUAUGAGCUACCAACAAAUGAAAGGGUGGUAAUAAAUUAUU